GAUGAACGCUGGCGGCGUGCUUAACACAUGCAAGUCGAACGAAGCACUUUAUUUGAUUUCCUUCGGGACUGAUUAUUUUGUGACUGAGUGGCGGACGGGUGAGUAACGCGUGGGUAACCUGCCUUGUACAGGGGGAUAACAGUUGGAAACGGCUGCUAAUACCGCAUAAGCGCACGGCAUCGCAUGAUGCAGUGUGAAAAACUCCGGUGGUAUAAGAUGGACCCGCGUUGGAUUAGCUGGUUGGUGAGGUAACGGCCCACCAAGGCGACGAUCCAUAGCCGACCUGAGAGGGUGACCGGCCACAUUGGGACUGAGACACGGCCCAAACUCCUACGGGAGGCAGCAGUGGGGAAUAUUGCACAAUGGGCGAAAGCCUGAUGCAGCGACGCCGCGUGAGCGAAGAAGUAUUUCGGUAUGUAAAGCUCUAUCAGCAGGGAAGAUAAUGACGGUACCUGACUAAGAAGCACCG
rnacentral:rRNA from 1 species